rnacentral:rRNA from 1 species
GAAGCCUGACGCAGCCACGCCGCGUGCCGGAUGAAGGCCCUAUGGGUUGUAAACGGCUUUUGAGGAGGAAGAACGACUGGAUUUCGAUCUGGUGUGACGGUACUCCUUGAAUAAGCACCGGCUAACUCCGUGCCAGCAGCCGCGGUAAUACGGAGGGUGCAAGCGUUGUCCGGAAUCAUUGGGUGUAAAGGGUGCGUAGGCGGGCUAUUAAGUCUGGGGUGAAAUCUUGCCGCUUAACGGUAAAAUGGCCCUGGAUACUGGUAGUCUUGAGUGUAGAAGAGGUAAGUGGAAUUCGUAGUGUAGCGGUGAAAUGCAUAGAUAUUACGAAGAACAUCAGUGGCGAAGGCGGCUUACUGGUCUACAACUGACGCUGAGGCACGAAAGCGUGGGGAGCGAACAGGAUUAGAUACCCUGGUAGUCCACGCUGUAAACGAUGCAUACUAGGUGUUGGCCUUUCGGGGCCAGUGCUGCAGUUAACGCAUUAAGUAUGCCACCUGGGGAGUACGUCGGCAACGAUGAAACUCAA